UUGAACGCUGGCGGCAUGCCUUACACCUGCAAGUCGAACGGUAACAGGUCUUCGGAUGCUGACAAGUGGCGAACGGGUGAGUAAUACAUCGGAACGUGCCCGAUCGUGGGGGAUAACGAGGCGAAAGCUUUGCUAAUACCGCAUACGAUCUACGGAUGAAAGCGGGGGAUCUUCGGACCUCGCGCGGACGGAGCGGCCGAUGGCAGAUUAGGUAGUUGGUGGGGUAAAAGCUUACCAAGCCGACGAUCUGUAGCUGGUCUGAGAGGAUGAUCAGCCACACUGGGACUGAGACACGGCCCAGACUCCUACGGGAGGCAGCAGUGGGGAAUUUUGGACAAUGGGCGAAAGCCUGAUCCAGCCAUGCCGCGUGCAGGAUGAAGGCCUUCGGGUUGUAAACUGCUUUUGUACGGAACGAAAAGCCUCUUUCUAAUAAAGAGGGGUCAUGACGGUACCGUAAGAAUAAGCACCGGCUAACUACGUG
rnacentral:rRNA from 1 species